rnacentral:lncRNA from 1 species
GGCACCCAACAAUUCGGAACUGUCCAAAAGACCCUGUAAAAAUCCACUCGGCGUACCAGCACGAGUGUAAAUGUAUACUAAACUACCUGGAGUACUCGUCUCGAGGAUACUGCGACAGUACAAUUUUAUAACGGCUCCUAGAGCUAAAUCAGGCAAUUUAAACAAGUGACAGGUCCAAAUCGCAGGUUUUCUCCUAAUUCAAAUUCCAAUUCCAACAUGUAUAAACUACUCAAUUUAUUACCACGUGCUCCAAAUUCAGAUUUACAAUCUAUAAUAUAAUCCAUGAAUUCGAGCUAGAAUAGACUAUACCAAAAAUCGAAAUUUAUACAUGUCGACGAUUAGAACUUAGGAGUAAAAACCGAUG